rnacentral:rRNA from 1 species
CAAUAGCGUAUAUUUAAGUUGUUGCAGUUAAAAAGCUCGUAGUUGGAUUUCUGGUCGGAAGCUCCUGUCCUCUGAUGAGCGUACAAGUGCGUCCUACCAUCCUUCUGUUAACCUUUAAGGCUUUCGCGGCUUUCUAGGGGCUCAGAUAUUUUACCUUGAGAAAAUUAGAGUGUUUCAGGCAGGCUAGCGCCGGAAUACAUUAGCAUGGAAUAAUGGAAUAGGACUUUUGCCUCUUCUGUUGGUCAUGAGGCUCGAGUAAUGAUUAAUAGGGAUAGUUGGGGGCAUUAGUACUUAACUGUCAGAGGUGAAAUUCUCGGAUUUGUUAAAGACUAACUUAUGCGAAANCANNNGCCAAGGAUGUUUUCAUNAA